GGGUGAUUUUGGUUUUAGUCUCUCUUUCAAACUAAGGUACAAUUUAGUCAUUCAAUUUUAGAAAACUCUGAUUUUAGUCAUUUUCAUCAAAUUUUUUUAACUUUAUUUGCUAUUUCAAGCACGUUUCAUUAUAGCAUUUGGAUUGUUUACAUUGUUUGACACAUUUUUGCUUCAAUGUUAACUGAGAAACGCCUUUGAAACAACAAAUAAAGUUAAAAAAAUUUGGUAAAAAGAAAUAAAACCAG
rnacentral:lncRNA from 1 species